rnacentral:rRNA from 1 species
GACAGAGGUGCCGAGCGUUAGGCGGAAUCACUGGGCUUAAAGCGUGUGUAGGCGGACCUGUAAGUGCCUUGUGAAAUCCCACGGCUCAACCGUGGAACUGCUGGGCAUACUGCGGGUCUUGAGCCACUUAGGGGCUGUCGGAACAGACGGUGGAGCGGUGAAAUGCGUAGAUAUCGUCUGGAACGCCAACGGUGAAAACAGACAGCUGGGAGUGUGCUGACGCUGAGACACGAAAGCCAGGGGAGCGAACGGG